rnacentral:rRNA from 1 species
AGGACGAACGCUGGCGGCGUGCUUAACACAUGCAAGUCGAGCGAGGCCCUUCCUUCGGGAAGGUGCCCUAGCGGCGAACGGGUGAGUAACACGUGGGCAACCUGCCCCUAGCACUGGGAUAACCCCGGGAAACCGGGCUAAUACCGGAUAUGACCUCGAGAGGCAUCUCUCGUGAUGGAAAGGGUUACUGGCUAGGGAUGGGCCCGCGGCCUAUCAGCUUGUUGGUGGGGUAACGCCCACAAGGCGACGACGGGUA